rnacentral:rRNA from 1 species
GCUCGAGUGGCGAACGGGUGAGUAACACGUGAGUUAACCUGCCCUUGACUUUGGGAUAACUUCAGGAAACUGGGGCUAAUACCGGAUAGGAGCUCCUGCUGCAUGGUGGGGGUUGGAAAGUUUCGGCGGUUGGGGAUGGACUCGCGGCUUAUCAGCUUGUUGGUGGGGUAGUGGCUUACCAAGGCUUUGACGGGUAGCCGGCCUGAGAGGGUGACCGGCCACAUUGGGACUGAGAUACGGCCCAG